rnacentral:rRNA from 1 species
CACAUGCAAGUCGAGCGAAGCGGCUGAAUUGAUUCUUCGGAUGAUUUUCAGUUGACUGAGCGGCGGACGGGGUGAGUAACGCGUGGGUGACCUGCCCCGUACCGGGGGAUAACAGCUGGAAACGGCUGCUAAUACCGCAUAAGCGCACAGAGCUGCAUGGCUCGGUGUGAAAAACUCCGGUGGUAUGGGAUGGGCCCGCGUCUGAUUAGGCAGUUGGCGGGGUAACGGCCCACCAAACCGACGAUCAGUAGCCGGCCUGAGAGGGCGACCGGCCACAUUGGGACUGAGACACGGCCCAAACUCCUACGGGAGGCAGCAGUGGGGAAUAUUGCACAAUGGGGGAAACCCUGAUGCAGCGACGCCGCGUGAGCGAAGAAGUAUUUCGGUAUGUAAAGCUCUAUCAGCAGGGAAGAUAAUGACGGUACCUGACUAAGAAGCCCCGGCUAACUACGUGCCAG